rnacentral:rRNA from 1 species
GAUGAACGCUGGCGGCGUGCCUAAUACAUGCAAGUCGAGCGAACGGACGAGAAGCUUUCUUCUCUGAUGUUAGCGGCGGACGGGUGAGUAACACGUGGAUAACCUACCUAUAAGACUGGGAUAACUUCGGGAAACCGGAGCUAAUACCGGAUAAUAUUUUGAACCGCAUGGUUCAAAAGUGAAAGACGGUCUUGCUGUCACUUAUAGAUGGAUCCGCGCUGCAUUAGCUAGUUGGUAAGGUAACGGCUUACCAAGGCAACGAUGCAUAGCCGACCUGAGAGGGUGAUCGGCCACACUGGGACUGAGACACGGUCCAGACUCCUACGGGAGGCAGCAGUAGGGAAUCUUCCGCAAUGGGCGAAAGCCUGACGGAGCAACGCCGCGUGAGUGAUGAAGGUCUUCGGAUCGUAAAACUCUGUUAUUAGGGAAGAACAUAUGUGUAAGUAACUGUGCACAUCUUGACGGUACCUAAUCAGAAAGCCACGGCUAACUACGUG